AUUGAACGCUGGCGGCGUGCCUAAUACAUGCAAGUCGAACGGAGCGGCGCACGGGCGAGUAAUGUAUAGCUAAUCUGCCCUCCACUAGAGGACAACAGUUGGAAACGGCUGCUAAUAAUCUCUAGUGUCGGUUGAGGGUAUAUUGUAUCAGCUAGUUGGUGAGGUAAUGGCUCACCAAGGCUAUGACGCAUAACUGGUCUGACGGGAUGAUCAGUCGCACUGGAACUGAGGCACGAUCCAGACACCUACGGGAAGCAGCAGUAGGGGAUAUUGCUCAAUGGGGGAAACCCUGGAGCAGCAACGCCGCGUGGAGGAUGACACUUUUCGGAGCGUAAGCUCCUUUUGUUAAGGAAGCGGUACCUGACGAAUAAGCACCGGCUAACUCCGUGCCAGCAGCCGCGGUAAUAC
rnacentral:rRNA from 1 species